CUCAGAACGAACGCUGGCGGCAGGCAUAACACAUGCAAGUCGAGCGGCCGUAGCAAUACGGCAGCGGCAGACGGGAGAGUAACACGUGGGAACGCGCCCUACAAUUCGGAAUAACUCAGGGAAACUUGGGCUAAUACCGGAUACGCCCUUACGGGGAAAGAUUUAUUGCCGAAGGAACGGCCCGCCUCGAUUAGCUAGUUGUGAGGUUUCUUCUUCCAAGGCGAGGAAAAAAUCCGGCCUGAGAGGGCGGACGGACACACUGGGACUG
rnacentral:rRNA from 1 species